AGUCGGACGGUAGCACAGAGGAGCUUGCUCCUCGGGUGACGAGUGGCGGACGGGUGAGUANUGUCNGGGGAUCUGCCCGAUAGAGGGGGAUAACCACUGGAAACGGUGGCUAAUACCGCAUAACGUCGCAAGACCAAAGAGGGGGACCUUCGGGCCUCUCACUAUCGGAUGAACCCAGAUGGGAUUAGCUAGUAGGCGGGGUAACGGCCCACCUAGGCGACGAUCCCUAGCUGGUCUGAGAGGAUGACCAGCCACACUGGAACUGAGACACGGUCCANACUCCUACGGGAGGCAGCAGUGGGGAAUAUUGCACANUGGGCGCAAGCCUGAUGCAGCCAUGCCGCGUGUAUGAAGAAGGCCUUCGGGUUGUAAAGUACUUUCAGCGGGGAGGAAGGCGAUGUGGUUAAUAACCGYNUUGAUUGACGUUACCCGCAGAAGAAGCACCGGCUAACUCCGUGCCAGCAGCCGCGGUAAUACGGAGGGUGCAAGCGUUAAUCGGAAUUACUGGGCGUAAAGCGCACGCAGGCGGUCUGUUAAGUCAGAUGUGAAAUCCCCGGGCUUAACCUGGGAACUGCAUUUGAAACUGGCAGGCUUGAGUCUCGUAGA
rnacentral:rRNA from 1 species